rnacentral:tRNA from 1 species
GGCCCCUUAGUCAGUGGUUAGAAAGCAGGCGACUCAUAAUCGCUUGGUCGCUGGUCUGCGUCCAGCAGGGGCCA